UACGGACAUAUCAAGUUCAAACACCGUUUCCCCUACGACCACCGAAGUUAAGUAACGUCGAGCUUGGUCAGUUCCUCGACGGGUGACCACUUGGGAAUAUCAGGUGCUGCAA